UACGAAGGGGGCUAGCGUUGCUCGGAAUCACUGGGCGUAAAGGGCGCGUAGGCGGCCAUUCAAGUCGGGGGUGAAAGCCCAGGGCUCAACCCUGGAAUUGCCUUCGAUACUGUUUGGCUAGAGACCGGAAGAGGUAAGUGGAACUGCGAGUGUAGAGGUGAAAUUCGUAGAUAUUCGCAAGAACACCAGUGGCGAAGGCGGUUCUCUGGGCAUGUCCUGACGCUGAGGAGCGAAAGUGUGGGGAGCGAACAGG
rnacentral:rRNA from 1 species